UAAGCAGCAAUAAAAUGAUGAUGAUUUGCUGUUAAUAAGCAGCAAUGAUACGAUACAGAGUUCAUGUUUCCCUUAACGUAAAGUCCACUUCUUCCAUAUGGCCGGUUCAGUAUAAAAUGGCAAUUGCUACUAAAACUAAAAAAAAAUUGCAGCUAUCUUUUUUUUAAAAAAAUAGGCACAAAAAAUGCAGAGAAAAAUGUAGUGUUGAUUCUGAAGUUCAUUUUUAUUUAUUGGAGAAGCUCACUUUUAGAGAAAAAUGCAGAGAAAUGAUCUAUAUUUAUUGGGCAGAGUUCGCUUCGUCCGAAAGCGAAGUUCAGUUUUGUCAUCGGAACAAUUCAAUUCAUAAUCAGCUAGCUAUUUUUGAGAAAAUUAAACAGAGUAAAAACUAAUGCUGCUUGAACUUCAUCAUUGAAAAGUAAAUUGUCGAGCUCUGGAAUAUUCUUGUACUUGAAGAUACCAGAAUUUGCAUUCACUUGUACCAGGUACCUAGCAGUAGUUUCAUUUCACGCGAUGAUAGAGUAGCUUAAGAGUUUGACAUUACCAUGCUUUGGCUGCAUUAUUGCUUGCGAUUAUAUUAAUUUAAUCAUGGUUAUGCAUUUUCAGCAAAGCUGACUGUUUUCAUUUGGAUUACAGAUAACGAUCCUGACCAUGACCAUCCAAUGGAGUCUAAUCGCCUUCAUCGGGAUGCACCUGGUGUGUGCUAAUAUUUUUGUCCUUUGCUAUGCACAAAAGCUCGUGGCCGGGAGAGCUGCAGUAUACGGGCGGGCAGUCGAGUCCUCAGCAAAAGGCAGUGCUGUGAUGCGAAGCAGCCAACAUAAUCAAAGAGUAGGAAGUUUGCGACUCCUGGACCCCGCCGCCGCGCGCCUUCUGGACCCCGCUGCCGCGCACCUCCUAGAUCCCCGCUGCCGCGCGCCUCCUAGACCUGCCGACGCGCGCCUCCUGUACUCGACGCUGCACGGCUCCUGUAUCCCCGCCGCCCCGUGGUCGCCCCUAUCCACCGCGCCGUCCAACCUGACUGCCGCGGUCACACGAAGGGCGGAGCGAGGGACGCAUGAAGUUCAGUUCUCCCAAUCUUUAGAGUUCAGUUCUCCUGAUCCGUGGAUUUCAAAUCCGUGCUAGCUGAACUGCUACGUUGCUGCUGUUGGGCAGAGAGUCUGGCUUCAUGCGUUGCCUCUGAACUGCUGCAGGGUGAGCUGCACCAGGCAGAUUUCGAGUUGCAUCAUGCGGUGGUGGAUGGGAGAUCGGAGAGGGGCCACCGGUGUUGUUGGGCGGAGAGGUGCACCGACGCUCUGCGUUCAAGCCUAUCAUCUAAAGCACAGGAACAACACUUGGAUCUCCCUUAAGAUGGCGUUUGGUGUACCUUUGAAGCCAUGGUCCUAAGCUUCUCCAAACCACCCCGUUCCCUGCCUCCCUGGUCUCACUCCUUUACUCGUCUGGUUGACCGUGCCUUCCACCGAUGGGAGUUCACAAAGCCGCGUGUAGGUGUUCAUUGGCACCAGCACUUUCGGGCUC